CAACUACCCCCUCCGUUCGGAAUUACUUGUCGCAGAAAUUGAUGUAUCUAGACGUAUUUUAGUUCUAGAUACAUCCAUUUCCGAGACAAUUAAUUCCGAAUGGAGGGAGUAAUAG
rfam:Triticum aestivum genome assembly, contig: Triticum_aestivum_CS42_TGACv1_scaffold_290093_4AL